rnacentral:lncRNA from 10 species
AAUUUUUUGUGGUCAUGAUGAGGAACAAUAGCGUGGCCAAACAGAAGGGCCAGGUACAAGCUGGCAAUCCAACCUGGGGAAGAAGAGAAAGCCACACGCUCCUUUCAGAUCCCAUCUGACAGCUGAGCUGCACAAGGCAUCCCCCUCUACUUGCAUUCAGCCCAGGGGGAUGAACCACUGGGGGCAUUGCUCUGGAUUCUGUGCAUGCUCGUGGAGACUGAAUUUACAAUCUCAGGGCAUUGAGUUGUUGGAAUGUUGACAUCCAUUCUUUAGGGCAGCCACUUAUGUCUCUAUCUUGUAUGUCUUUCUCUCCCUCUCAUAUAUUCAGACUUCCUGCACCAGAUGUGCCAAGAGAACAUUUGACAGAGAUGACACUUGCAAACUGCAAAUGGCCCCUGACCAGUCUUCAUGUCCACAAGGCCUUCUCUGAUUAGUCCAGCCCACAGUGACCUCUCUGACCUUGACUUCUGCCUGGUCUAGAUCUUAGACUUGACUUGCUUUGUUUCUUUCCAUUCUGUCUCCCAAAUAGACUCUAAGUUCCUUGAGGGUAGGUCCUCUUUGUGCUGCUCAUGGAAACUCACACAAUUCUGAGCAUACACCAUUGGUUAGCUCUGACCUGAUGCAUGGACCUCCCUGGGGUGUGAUGGAGUGUAGGGGUACCCUAAUCUGACUGCACAUCAGAAUCAUCUGGGGGAGUUAAAAAAAAACACAGAUGUUCAAGCAUCAUACAAGACCUACUCUAUCAGAAAUACCAAAGGACAGGGCCUAAGGCUCCAUAUUUUUCUGUCUUCCUAGCUGACUCUGGUGUGCAGCUUGCCCAUUUGGGUCCUGGGACUGAUGCCUGUGAAUCUUCUUUGUUGACAUGUGAAGGGCCCCAUGUGCUCUGAUGUACUCUCCAUCAUGCAUGUGUGUAAUGGGACUUUGGCUUUCCACCAGAAAGACACUGUGUCUCCUUAAGGACCCUCCCAGAUAAAAUCUCCAUGCUGCUGCCAAAAGGGCUAGAUACUGCCUUGACUCCUUAGCAGCCAUGACCACAUCAACAUGGACUAAGCUAUCAGAAACCGGCCCUGCAUCACCUGCAAUGGAAUAUCUGGCUUUCUGUUUAAGUAAAAGAUAUCCUAAAGUCUACUUCUUAUCACUUAGAGUUAGACUCUGAACUUGAUAAUAUGUUAUACAACCUACGUUUCAUUUUUUUUUAAACCAAGCAAUCUGAUACUUGUAACAACUGGGUGAUUGUGGUUUGGACUAAAGUUUGCUGUGAUGCUGAAAGAAAGGCCAGGGAGCUCCAGGAGAAGGGAGAGCAGUGCUUCUCAUGGUCAUGGAUCCUGCCACUGGAUGCCAGCCCAGUGGACUUCAGGAGCAUUUCCCAUAUAGUUGUAAGCUGGUCAAUUACGCUAAUGAAAAGUGAGACUAAAGCAAACUCACCUCAGCCAUAAAGUUUGCCAUGCCGACUCCAAGAUAGGCCGUGAACAGGGCUACAGAAAAAAAAAGGAGGGAAAGAACAAUGCUUCGUAGAUGCACUUUUAAUCACAGGAAAGGCUGCCUUCCAAUAUAAAUCACCUGGAAUGCACAGUGCCCUGAUUACAAGCAUGAGCCUAAAGUCAGCAGUCCUGGGUUCAAAUCCUGGCUCCAUCACUUAGGAGCUCCAUGGGCUCUGUUUUAAGCCUCCAUUUCCUCACCUGUACAAUGGAAGUAAGAGGAAUAUAUUUUUCAUGGUGUUGGUGUGAGGAUGAAAGGAAAUAAUGCAUGUGUUUAGCACACAGUAAGUGCUCAAUAAAGGUAGUUUUUUUAUGGUUACUAUUUUGUUGUUAUUGCUAAUACUUAAGGGAAAGGCCUUCCAUGGCAAAUAAAUUUCUCUGAUGUUUUAUCCAAGCAUAGCUGAAUUAAAAUGAAACCUAUGAAUGUUUCUUGAGAUAGCAUCUAGGAUUCUCAUAUUAAUGAAUUGAAUUCACAGCUACAAAAAAUCAUAGUGCUUGCUUUGGCAGCCUGUGUACUAAAAACCAAAACAAAACCAUGUUUACAAAAUAAGAAGGAAAGAACUCAGAGAACAGCAGGAACUGAACACAAACUUGAGAUUCCUCCCCUUGAUAACAUCUUCUCCAAUACCAUUAAAAUCAAUGAAUAAACGUCUUUUUUUUUAUUUUUUAUUUUUUUUGGAGAUGGAGUCUCACUCAGUCGCCCAGGCUGGAGGGCACUGGCGUGAUCUCUGCUCACUGCAAGCUCCGCCUCCUGGGUUCACGCCAUUCUCCUGCCUCAGCCUCCCGAGUAGCUGGGACUACAGGUGCCCACCACUACGCCCAGCUAAUUUUUUUUUUUUUGUAUUGUUAGUAGAGACGGGGUUUCACCAUGUUAACCAGGAUGGUCUCAAUCUCCUGACCUUGUCAUCUGCCCGUCUCGGCCUCCCAAAGUGCUGGGAUUACAGGCAUGAGCCACCGCGCCCAGCCAACGUCUUAUGUUUUUAUUUGCUUUGAGUGGCCAAAAAAUUGUAGAAUCAGUAAUUCGAGUAUAUGGGUGACUUUCAGUGUAAAACAACAAAAGCAAAGAUCUCAACCAGCUAAUUAUCUAUUCCUCAGUUUUGGUUGAAGAGAAGGCUCACAGAGGCUCAGGGAAGCCCUCAGGUUUCAUGGGGACAGCCUGAAGAAUGACCUUCAUAUAAUGGCCACACAGCCACUUGGGCCACCGGAGCUCACCGUGAGACACACUCACCAUCUCGUCUUCAUGUCUGGUGCUCCCUUUAGUUUUCUGGCAAGAAGCUAGGGAGAAGGUGACUUGAGCUCCUCGUGUGUUUUGAUCACUCAACAAAGAAGACAAAAGGGCGUUUCAUAACCUGACAGUGGGAGAGCACAUUAAAAAGGAGCUGAGCUGACCUUUGCACUGUCUAUGAAGAAUGAGUUUCCUAAACUCAUCAUAGCAACAAGAUAUAACGGGGGUUAUUAAGCCACUAAAACUUUUUCUGAAUUCAUAUGCACUUUUUCCCAAAUAGAAUGCUGACGACAAAUAAUUUUAUCAAUCAUUAAAGAAGAUCCCUUCAGAACCUCUCCAGGGAAAUACUUGUAGCUUAGUUCUGGUUAGCACGUAAUGCCACAAGAAUCUGGCAUCAUUUAGACCAGCCAUUUAUUCAGAUAUCAAGAGCAAGAGACUGUAACUGAUUCCCUGACCUCUGACUAAAAACAAAUAUAAACAGUUCUGUGGACUAAAUGUUGUUUAUCCUGGGAAGGAUGUGGUUUUAUCACUGUUGCCCACAGUAACUGGUCAGCCCCUGUGUCUCAGAAGGGAGCUGAGAAGGCUUGAAAGGGUACACCUACCUGUCCUGGCUGAGCAAGAGGGCCAUCAGAGUGGAGACCACUGUUCCCAGCCAGCCAGUGAGAGCCCACCAGGGGUUCUGAACAAGAAGUCCUACCAGAAUCAGGAUUCCACUGACGGGGUUGUUGACGAACACCACUUGGGAUAUGCCCCGGAGAAUCCAGUCAAUGAACUGGAGCACCACGGGUUUGUCUGGAAGGGAUGAGGUAAAGCAGAGCUAAGGAAGCUGCCAAGUGAUACUCUUCAACCACAGGCCCACCCUGAGCAAAAUCAGCAAAACCUCCUGGAAGUGAAACAUUUUUGAUAUUUCUUUAAUAUUUCUCUCUCAACCCAUUGUUGCAUUAGUGGCACCCAGAUCCCUGAAAGCCUCUAUCUACUGUAUGCUCAACCCACACUGCCCCUCCUAGAAUCUAAGCUCCUGAAAGCAUCUAAUGCACUUAUUUUCAUGCUUAUAGGUACAAAUUCUGAAGCCAAAGGAAUAAAUUUAAGUUUUAAGUACUGAAACUACAGGAUGAAGCCAGGUGCCUUCUAAUAUGAGCUGGGCCCUGGCUACUGUCUCCAUAAGAAAAAAAAAUGGAGAGGUUUGCAGGUUAAAAGAUAAAAGUAGAAAAAUGGUGAGUAAAGAGAUCUAUAAAAAGUUGGAGAAUAUAACUAAAGGUAUAAGUAGAAGUACCAGGAAACCAUUUCCCCCAAAGCUACUUCUCCUGUCUCUCCAAAAUGUGAAAGGAUAAAUACCUUUAAGCUGGUUGGCAAGUUCUUUCAUGUCACCGGUGACAUAGCCAAGAGCUUUGGGGAA